CUUAUCCUCAUCAGCAAACUUCUGAAUACAAAAGCUUUUUUUAUAACUCUCAAUCACUUAUUUACAUCAAAACAGAUACCAACAAUCCCACACUAAGUCUCUAAUCACAAUCACACCGAAAAACAAACAUUUAAAAACGAUUCUUCAAAAUUUCUAGGAAAAAAUCUGCAAAUGUACUUAUAUUAUUUCAACUAGAGAAGCCUCCUCCUGAAGUUUCUGGUAGUUGAUUGAUAAGUACGUACGAGAAGACCGACACCAAUGCCAAGACCAACACAGACGCCAAGUCCAAU
rfam:Brassica oleracea var. oleracea cultivar TO1000 chromosome C5, whole genome shotgun sequence